rnacentral:misc_RNA from 1 species
GGAAGUAUAAGUCGUAACAAGGUCUCCGUUGGUGAACCAGCGGAGGGAUCAUUACAGAGUUGCAAAACUCCCAAACCAUUGUGAACGUUACCUAUCCCGUUGCUUCGGCGGGCGGCCCGGGCCCCGCGCCCGGCGCCCCCCGGCCCCCCGUGGGCGCCCGCCGGAGGUAAACCAAACCCUUGAAUUGCAUGGCCUCUCUGAGUCUUCUGUACUGAAUAAGUCAAAACUUUCAACAACGGAUCUCUUGGUUCUG